rnacentral:lncRNA from 1 species
CCAAAAAUCCAUGCGGAUCGGUGAAUUGACGGUCCAGAUCGUGAAUCGACCGAAUCGGUUGGAUUAAGCUUUAAAAAAAUCUAAAAAACUUUACUAAAAUUCAUUAUAAAUGUCGUUUUUUAAUAAUCCAAUAAGAAAUCGGGGUACUCCAUUAUUAAUUUUCAUGUUUUCAUCAAUAUGUGAAUAUUGAAAAGUUUUUUUUCGGUAUGAACUUAUUUUGACUAUUAAAUUUACAUCACACAAAAAAAAAAUCACGAAUUAUCAUGGAUGAAAUAUAUAAGCAUAGAUGGACUAUAAUAAAGAAUGAUUUUAAUCGAUAAAAA